GAGGUGUUACCUUAGUUUCACUGUGUCAAGAGACACUUCAGGAAGGAUGAUUAUCCACACACACCAAGAGCUGCUCUGGGAAUAAGACAAUACUUAGAAAACAAUCAAAUGUAGUUUACUUUAAGAGAAAGUUAGAAGUGUUUUAUAUUUUUGAUAUAAAGGAUAUUUUUUGAUAUAGGAGUGGGAGUCGACCCUGUUGAAGCGGUGAAGGGUAACGUUGAAAUAACAAUACUAUACAAUUCUCUUGUUUUUUGCUUUAAUUAACAGUUUCACUGUGCCUCAGCCUUGUACAGUUCUUCACUGUCGUCUUCAACACAGACUCAUUGUUCAUAACAGAGUAUUUUUCAUUAUAUGAAGUGCUUUGGUCCUCAUUGUUUUUGACUAUACAACCCUUUUACUAAAGGGCACCUUCCCUCUACAAAUAUCUGUUGUAUCCUUAGCAACGCUUCCUUCUUCUACCAAGUUAUCUCUCCUCCUACAUUCAAGGCAACAGAAUAUGUGGUAAAAUGUACUUAACAGCUGUGGUUUUAAACCGCACAGGCAGUCAAUCGGGAUGUUUAAACAGCACAGGCAGCCAAUCGGGAUGUUUACCCCAUUUAUUUAAAUUAGAAAGUUCUCUGGUGGCUUCAGCUCCUAAUUCCAAAACGGUGCCCUAGUUUUAGAUAUAAACAGGUAUUUGAUGAAAGGAUGACUGUGUCGCUAGAUCUCGCAGCAAAUCAGAACUGGUCAUCACAUUACAAUUAACUUAUAUCUACCAUGGUAAAUGACUCCAUCAUGCUGUGCCUAAUAAGGGUUAGUGUAGGGUUCAAUUCCACGGAGGGGAACUCUGUUGAUUGUGGUGCUGAGUUUGUGGGUGUAUCUCUGGUGUGGUUUAGUCCAUGUCUCCAGGUAGAGGGUCCCUCUGUGAUGUCACUAGAUGUGGUUUAGUCCAUGUCUUCAGGUAGAGGGUCCCUCUGUGAUGUCACUAGAUGUGGUUUAGUCCAUGUCUUCAGGUAGAGGGUCCCUCUGUGAUGUCACUAGAUGUGGUUUAGUCCAUGUCUUCAGGUAGUUGAUUCCUCUGUGAUGUCACUAGAUGUGGUUUAGUCCAUGUCUUCAGGUAGUUGAUUCCUCUGUGAUGUCACUAGAUGUGGUUUAGUCCAUGUCUUCAGGUAGUUGAUUCCUCUGUGAUGUCACUAGAUGUGGUUUAGUCCAUGUCUUCAGGUAGAGGGUCCCUCUGUGAUGUCACUAGAUGUGGUUUAGUCCAUGUCUUCAGGUAGUUGAUUCCUCUGUGAUGUCACUAGAUGUGGUUUAGUCCAUGUCUUCAGGUAGAGGGUCCCUCUGUGAUGUCACUAGAUGUGGUUUAGUCCAUGUCUUCAGGUAGUUGAUUCCUCUGUGAUGUCACUAGAUGUGGUUUAGUCCAUGUCUUCAGGUAGAGGGUCCCUCUGUGAUGUCACUAGAUGUGGUUUAGUCCAUGUCUUCAGGUAGUUGAUUCCUCUGUGAUGUCACUAGAUGUGGUUUAGUCCAUGUCUUCAGGUAGAGGGUCCCUCUGUGAUGUCACUAGAUGUGGUUUAGUCCAUGUCUUCAGGUAGAGGGUCCCUCUGUGAUGUCACUAGAUGUGGUUUAGUCCAUGUCUUCAGGUAGAGGGUCCCUCUGUGAUGUCACUAGAUGUGGUUUAGUCCAUGUCUUCAGGUAGAGGGUCCCUCUGUGAUGUCACUAGAUGUGGUUUA